rnacentral:lncRNA from 1 species
AUCGAGCCCCAAGUGCAAGCCCAUGAAAAUCCUCCCGAAGCUGGCCCUGAUACCUGGGUGCUACACGUGGAUGGAUCUUCCAACCCGAUAGGAUUAAGGGUAGGAUUGACUCUUUCGGGUCUGAAAGGCACGAUUGUCGAGUAUGCUUGGGCUUCAAGUUUCUGACAACGAACAAUGAAGCCAAAUAUGAAGCCUUGGUAGUAAGCCUCAUAAUCAUUGAGGAAUUGGGGAUACA